AAUGAACCGUUAGAGCCUGGAUCAAAGUACAGGGUUCAUGUAAGAAUCGUUACCACGACAGUGGAUGGGAAACGAAUUUUCGGAGACUCGAGUUUUGUGGCUUUCACGACAAAAACCCUCAACAAUGAUGAAGCAAUGCCUCUCAAGCGUGUGAGUGAUGAAAGUCUUAUAGGGAUCGUGAUUGGUCUAUCAGUCUUCAUAUUUGUACUCCUUGCAAUCUUUCUCCAUCAUUGUUGGUCUAAGCUAAAGUACAAACCAAACAAGAAAGACCUUGGAACUGAAAUGGAAGACCUAAAGAAUGGAUAUAAUUUAUUGAAUGACAAUUAAGACCUGGAUUACCGUCUCAGCGCAAAGCCUUGUUAGACUGUAUUUAAGUGUUAAUAUUAUAUAGGCGACCUAGAGUCCUAUUGUAUUAUCACCUGCCCUUGGGUGAAUCAUAAAUAAAUUUAUAUCACUCUCACUCUGUAAUGCCAACUCGAGUUUUUUUUCUUCGCCAACAUUACUCGGAUUGGCUAACAUGGAUACUUAGCUGAAAUAUGGUAUAAUAAAUAAUAAAAUGUAAUAAAUAAAACAA